GCUGGCGUAGUUCAGUUGGCAGAACGCUUCCUUGGUAAGGAAGAAAUCGCUGGUUCGAAUCCAGCCGUCAGCU
rnacentral:tRNA from 1 species